GCCGCGUCGGCAUCCAGGGCAGGGAGCCGCCGGCCCCGGCUCCGGACGGGGAGGCGCUGGCCCGGCCCGGCCCGGCCCGGCUCCGCUCGGGAAUGCCCCGGCAGGAAGGUGCCAGGGGUACCCGCAGCUCCGGGACUGUCGGGAACUCGCAGCUUGGCUCCCGCCCAUCGCGCUCGUCCCGCAGGGAAAAUCCCCGGCUCCGGAUCGGUAGCAGGGGUGAAACCUCCCAGAACGGGUCCCAAGGGCGCUGUGAAGGCUCUCGGUGCUGCAGCUUUUCUAUUCCAUUGGCAGAGAUUAUUUUACCUAGCCUUCAGGCGCGAUCAGAACUAAUGAACUCCCCGAGUUAAAGCUGCCCACGAUGCCCGUGCAGCCCUUGUCUGAGCAAGGGAAUCUUCUGAUUUCCCACUCUGAUCCAUGGGAAUUUAACACCCCUUCCCACUGGCACUGGAGAAUCCACAAAGCCGGCUCGCUUCCCUUUUGCUCCCUUGGUGCUUCAGGAUUACCAGGAAAAAGAAAUAAAGGCCCUUUAAAAAAUUGCACCAAAGAGGACUUGGCUGUUGGAGAGUUCCAGGGUUUCUCCUGCAAGGCAGUUUCUCUGAUUAGUUUUUCUCUGUCUUUAGAACAGAGAGUUGUGUUUAAGAGUAUUCCUCGUGGAGAAACAAACUGCGCUUUAGGAAACCUGGGAUCCAGAGGGGAAUGGAGACUCCCUUGGAUGUUUUGUCGAGAGCAGCAUCUCUGGUCCAUGCUGAUGAUGAGAAACUUGCAGAACUGGUCACUGUUUCGAGAGUUGCUCUCUGCUGAUGAUCUCCACGGGUGGAAUUUCAGCUCUCUCCCAUCUGUGGGGUUGAUUCUUGCUCAUUUUCCCCCUGGAAGAUGCUGUGGAGUGCAGGCACCAAAGACAUUUCAUUUUCUCAGGCUCUUCAGCACUGCCUGAGGCAGCAGCAGGUGUGAGAGGGUGGAGAAGGGAAGAGACAAAGAAAAAAGCAGCUCCCUGUGUGUUUGUAAUGCUCUAAAGUGCAUGUUCAAAUUCUCUGAAACCUGUAUAUAAACUCUCACUGUCAAAUCUGAUAUAUCACCAACUUGAUCCAUUAAAUUUUUUUUUCCCUGCAAAAAUCCAGGUGAACAAAUAAUACACAGUAGUAAGGAUUUCUUUUUAUAUUAAGCCCUGUUAUUGACAGUGGUGAUUUCCCUUCUCUUUUUGCUUUCCUUGCUUUGUUUUUUGUGCCUGAGGUGGUAAGAGAUUGCAGUGUGCAGACUGAAUUUGCUUUCUGUGUUGAGGUGAAGCAGAUCCCUGGGAGGCCGGAGCCUGUGCCCUGCUCUGUGGGAUAACUGGGAUAAAAUGCCAUGGGAAUCCCAGCGGAGCCCGAGGCUGUCCCGGUACCUCUAGAGGCUGCUGUUGUGUUAAAGUUCAGGGCUGGGAUUCUCUGCCAGGAGCAGCGAGUGUGCAAUCCUAGAGGAAAUACUCCAGACAAUGAGAGGCAGAGGUACCUCAGCACGGGGCUGUGUUUGCAGCUACCAGGAUAUAGAAGGAACUGAUGAAAAAUUGCCUUUUCCCCCCACUGAUUAUUGGUUUCAGUUCAGUGGAGGAUGUCCCAGAUGAGCAGCAAAAUUGAGAAUUUGCUAGCAGGAACCAAGUGCUUUACAGUGACCCUGUCAGUAUUUGAGGCUGAUGUCUGCUGGACAUGGGUUUGUUGAGCUGAUAAAAUUUUCUAUCAAAGAAAGUUUUCCUAAGGAAAAUGGAUUCUGGGUUUAAAAUGCAAUAUAAAAAAUGUGUUUUCAUUGAUAAUCCCCCCCCACCCUUUCACUGGGCAUUGCUUUGUUUUCAGCAUAGGUAUUUUAAUUUAGGAGUUCAAGAAGCUCUUGGUGUUUGGUACAGUUUAUUAUUAUUUAUUGUGAAGCAUGUUCAUUAUGCAACAUUUGACAAGUCCAAUCAGAGUUUGUAAUGAAAUGCUGAAAGCCAUUCACCUAACAGGGAUCAUUACUGCCUAAAAACCUGUACACCAGUGACUACUGCUUUAAUAAAGAAGAAUUAACUCCUUUAUUAGUGUCUGGA
ensembl:lncRNA